UAGGGCAGCACUGCGUAUCCCAGCCCCUUGGUCCUACAGCAGAACCGUCUCUCCCCAACUGAUUUUUGAGAGAUGUUUGUCUGACCUGUUUUUUGAGAGCUCCGGUGGCAGAGACUGCAUACCCUCCCGAGAACAUAUUUGCAGGGACCUGAGGCAAGCUAGAAGUCAUUCAGCAUAUCUUCAUCUCGGUGGUCUUCUUUCUAGAUGGAAGCAGCCCCCCUGAGAGGCAGCCCUCAUAAGGGGCAGGGAGAUUUAAUAAAUUCCCCACGAUCCUACAGGAAAACA